CUUCUCUGAUGUUAGCGGCGGACGGGUGAGUAACACGUGGAUAACCUACCUAUAAGACUGGGAUAACUUCGGGAAACCGGAGCUAAUACCGGAUAAUAUUUUGAACCGCAUGGUUCAAAAGUGAAAGACGGUCUUGCUGUCACUUAUAGAUGGAUCCGCGCUGCAUUAGCUAGUUGGUAAGGUAACGGCUUACCAAGGCAACGAUGCAUAGCCGACCUGAGAGGGUGAUCGGCCACACUGGAACUGAGACACGGUCCAGACUCCUACGGGAGGCAGCAGUAGGGAAUCUUCCGCAAUGGGCGAAAGCCUGACGGAGCAACGCCGCGUGAGUGAUGAAGGUCUUCGGAUCGUAAAACUCUGUUAUUAGGGAAGAACAUAUGUGUAAGUAACUGUGCACAUCUUGACGGUACCUAAUCAGAAAGCCACGGCUAACUACGUGCCAGCAGCCGCGGUAAUACGUAGGUGGCAAGCGUUAUCCGGAAUUAUUGGGCGUAAAGCGCGCGUAGGCGGUUUUUUAAGUCUGAUGUGAAAGCCCACGGCUCAACCGUGGAGGGUCAUUGGAAACUGGAAAACUUGAGUGCAGAAGAGGAAAGUGGAAUUCCAUGUGUAGCGGUGAAAUGCGCAGAGAUAUGGAGGAACACCAGUGGCGAAGGCGACUUUCUGGUCUGUAACUGACGCUGAUGUGCGAAAGCGUGGGGAUCAAACAGGAUUAGAUACCCUGGUAGUCCACGCCGUAAACGAUGAGUGCUAAGUGUUAGGGGGUUUCCGCCCCUUAGUGCUGCAGCUAACGCAUUAAGCACUCCGCCUGGGGAGUACGACCGCAAGGUUGAAACUCAAAGGAAUUGACGGGGACCCGCACAAGCGGUGGAGCAUGUGGUUUAAUUCGAAGCAACGCGAAGAACCUUACCAAAUCUUGACAUCCUUUGACAACUCUAGAGAUAGAGCUUUCCCCUUCGGGGGACAAAGUGACAGGUGGUGCAUGGUUGUCGUCAGCUCGUGUCGUGAGAUGUUGGGUUAAGUCCCGCAACGAGCGCAACCCUUAAGCUUAGUUGCCAUCAUUAAGUUGGGCACUCUAAGUUGACUGCCGGUGACAAACCGGAGGAAGGUGGGGAUGACGUCAAAUCAUCAUGCCCCUUAUGAUUUGGGCUACACACGUGCUACAAUGGACAAUACAAAGGGCAGCGAAACCGCGAGGUCAAGCAAAUCCCAUAAAGUUGUUCUCAGUUCGGAUUGUAGUCUGCAACUCGACUACAUGAAGCUGGAAUCGCUAGUAAUCGUAGAUCAGCAUGCUACGGUGAAUACGUUCCCGGGUCUUGUACACACCGCCCGUCACACCACGAGAGUUUGUAACACCCGAAGCCGGUGGAGUAACCUUUUAGGAGCUAGCCGUCGAAGGUGGGACAAAUGAUUGGGGUGAAGUCGUAACAAGGUAGCCGUAUCGGAAGGUGCGGCUG
rnacentral:rRNA from 1 species